rnacentral:rRNA from 1 species
CUUUAAGGGUGCAAAGUCCCUUGAUCCGAAAAAAGACNAGAAGACCCUUAGAGUUUUUAUUUAAGGUAAGAAUUUACUUAAGUUUUUGCUGGGGCGGCAAAGAGACAAACAGUUAACUCUCUUCAUAUUAUUUUUAGAAGACGAUAAUGUUAAGAAUCAUUAAACUACCUUAGGGAUAACAGCAUAAUUAAGUUUUAGUUUGUGACCUCGAUGUUGGACUAGGAAAGCUUUUGACCAGCAGUCAAAAAUCGCGGUUCUGUUCGAACUCA